rnacentral:tRNA from 6 species
GCCGGGGUGCCCGAGUGGUUAAGGGAGUGGCCUUGAGAGCCACCGUCCUACGGGACUCGCGGGUUCGAAUCCCGUCCCCGGCG